rnacentral:rRNA from 1 species
GAUGAACGCUGGCGGCGUGCUUAACACAUGCAAGUCGAACGGUGAACGAGGGAGCUUGCUCCCUCCGGAUCAGUGGCGAACGGGUGAGUAACACGUGAGCAAUCUGCCCUGGACUCUGGGAUAAGCGUUGGAAACGACGUCUAAUACCGGAUACGAGGCGUGGGGGCAUCCCCAACGCCUGGAAAGAACUUCGGUCCAGGAUGAGCUCGCGGCCUAUCAGGUAGUUGGUGAGGUAACGGCUCACCAAGCCGACGACGGGUAGCCGGCCUGAGAGGGUGACCGGCCACACUGGGACUGAGACACGGCCCAGACUCCUACGGGAGGCAGCAGUGGGGAAUAUUGCACAAUGGGCGCAAGCCUGAUGCAGCAACGCCGCGUGAGGGACGACGGCCUUCGGGUUGUAAACCCCUUUUAGCAGGGAAGAAGCGAAAGUGACGGUACCUGCAGAAAAAGCACCGGCUAACUACGUGCCAGCAGCCGCAGUAACAC